rnacentral:rRNA from 1 species
AGAACGAACGCUGGCGGCAUGCCUAACACAUGCAAGUCGAACGGGACCUUCGGGUCUAGUGGCGCACGGGUGCGUAACGCGUGGGAAUCUGCCCUCAGGUACGGAAUAACUCAGGGAAACUUGAGCUAAUACCGUAUAAUGACUUCGGUCCAAAGAUUUAUCGCCUGAGGAUGAGCCCGCGUAGGAUUAGCUUGUUGGUGAGGUAAAAGCUCACCAAGGCGACGAUCCUUAGCUGGUCUGAGAGGAUGAUCAGCCACACUGGGACUGAGACACGGCCCAGACUCCUACGGGAGGCAGCAGUGGGGAAUAUUGGACAAUGGGCGAAAGCCUGAUCCAGCAAUGCCGCGUGAGUGAUGAAGGCCUUAGGGUUGUAAAGCUCUUUUACCCGGGAUGAUAAUGACAGUACCGGGAGAAUAAGCUCCGGCUAACUCCGUGCCAGCAGCCGC